CUGAUAAAUUUUGCAAUCUGCCAUAUUACGGAAAUAUUUCUCAUAAAAUAGCAAGGGUCCUGGGUAACCUAGAGAAUACGAAGAUUGCCUUUAAAUCUAAGAAUACUUUACAGCAAUACCUAAUCAAAAAUAAAACCCCUGUGGACAGCCUUGAGAAACCAGGAGUCUACAGACUCGAAUGUGGCGAUUCGGAAUGCAACGCUGUAUACGUGGGCAGAAGCGGAAGGUCAAUUAAAACUAGUACAAAGGAACAUCUAUAUAGCCUAAAAAACCCUAACAACAAUAAAUCCAUUUUUGGUUCACACCUUCGAGAUGAAGAACAUUGCUUCGAUAUUAACACCAAUGUGAAAUUGUUGCAUCAUUGCGACUUCGGGUUCAGGCAGGAGAUACUUGAAGAAGUCGAAAUAUUUAAACAUAUGCGGGACAACCGAUAUAACACACUCAAUGCAAUGCUAACUAAUAAUAUAAAAGAAACAUAUAAAUUAAUAUCACCUAGCACACGAGAUUGAUGAAGAAGAUGAUUUUUAUAUCUGUUAUGUGUCCGUGUUCGGAAGAUUUAGUUUUGUAUUACACCCGUCUGCCUGACGUUGAUGUGUCACCUUUCAACUUUUGACGGUCGACCUGAUGUGUCUUUGUUGUUUUACUGUUUAUGAGUAACUAUGUUUAAUUGUAACUUCACUUGAAACUAAGAGCUUAUAUAUUUUUACUUGGAUGACUGACUAUCAUGACAAUUUUGGAACCAAAAAUCAUAUUCAUGGUUUGAUAAUGGCCGAAAAAGGCCGAAACAUGUCACCUAUAUGAUAUAAAUAUAUGGUUCCAAAAGUAUAGAAGUGUUUUCAAGACUU